AAGGCUAGUUCAGUGGCACCAGGAAGUGUCUAUGUCAUGACAGCAGACAGGGUCCAUUCAAGUAAAAACAAGCAAAGCCACCAGGAAAGAUGUGCACCUUUCAACUGAGCAGUCGGGAGGCUGAGACAGGGAGAAACCAGCCUGCAACCAGUCUGGGUCACACAAUCACGUCAGCUGUCCAUCCAUGGACUGAAACCUUUGGAAACGUGAGCUGAGUUCUGGUCCCUCCAUUUAAGUAAUUCCUCCCAGCACGAGAUGGGAAGCCCUGCCGUUCUUCUGAGUCACUGAGGGAUUUGGAUAUUAUUGGAUAUUUACAAGGAUGCUUGAUUUUAUUAGUACCUCAAAGGCCACACAAUCAACAGUCACAUGACGCAUGCAGGCUACAUGAACUGGAAUCUUGGAAGAAUGAUCCUCCAGGCGGAAGUACAGAACGAGAAGCAGAAAAGAGCCUGUCCCAAAGCCUGUCCGGGCUGGAACAGCACAGAGCUCAAGUUC
rnacentral:lncRNA from 1 species